GCAGGUUCACAUGUAUACCUUAGCUUCCUCCAAUGUAAAGGAAGCAAAAUCAUUGCAGCCAUUGGAGCCAUAUAUAAUAACAGAUUUAUCGAGUGAAAUUUCCCAAUUUCAAAUGUUAAAAAGAAACCAAAUCCAUCCUCCUUUUUAACAUAACCCAAUCCCAUAUUUCAUGACAAAUUUCAGCACAAGCUAGUUCAUAUAAAUCCAAACCAAUUGAUAUGAGCAGAAUUAACAAGGGAAAAUAUGAUUAUCAUGGAUCAAACAAACAUUUCACCACAAACAACACAUAAGUUUUAAAGAAGAUAAAUUGAGCAGAGAAUUGAAGAAGAACAGCUCCGAUUGUGGUUCAUCAACUUUGAAGGUAUUAAAAUGCAACAACAAACUCCGAUUAAAAUAUGACUGGAAAGCGAAAGCAGGGACUACAAACUAUACCUCGGAUGGCGACUUCUUAAUUGAACUCCACAAUUUGAACACCAACAACAACAACAACAACUACCCAGUGUACUCCCACCAAGUGGGGUCUGGGGAGGGUAAUAUGUAGACAGCCUUACCCCUACCCGAAAGGGCAGAGAGGCUGCUUCCAAUCGACCACAAUUUGAACACCAAAAUUCUGAAAUUCAAACUGAAGAUACAAAAUAUAUUUUUUUAUUUUCUGAGAUUUAAACCAAACUUAAAGACUAAACAAGGGCCUAAAAAUGAAAGAAGAAACUGAGUUUUUUUUUUCUUUUGCAACUCGCGGUUGCUGGUGGUUGACGGCGACAGUUGGUUUGAGUGGAGUGACGGAUGUUGAUGUUAGCUGGUUGUUUGAGGGUGGUUGACUGGAGAUGGAGUCGCGGGUGUUGUUUGUGAUGUCCGACGAGCGGAGAUGGGUGAUAGGAGGCCGUGAGGUUGUCAGAGGCGGCGACUGACUUAGGGUUCUAGAUUCCUAGGAUUUUGAUAUGUGAAGAAGAUGACGUGAAAUCAGGGGUGUUAUAUUGUUGAUGGCGUCGCUCAUGGCUACUUAGGGGUCUAUAUUUUUUGGGUGUCCAUGAGGUGCAAGGUUCUCUUCUAGGGUUCGAGAUCUAAUGUCCAAAUGAAGAAGAAGGUCCUCCCGUCUCUCUAAGCGUUAGAUUCCUCUUUCUGAUGGCUCUAAGUGUCAAGAAGAAGGGUUUUCCUUUGGGGUGGGUCUGGCUCAAAAAAUAUUGGGCUUGCC
rnacentral:lncRNA from 1 species